GUGGACCCUGUCUCUCUUUCUCUCUGCCCCUCCCCCACUUGUUCUCUUUCUCUCUCUCAAAUAAACUUUAAAGAUAUUAAAAUUAAAAAAAAAAAGAUACAGACCAUUUUCUUUACCAGAAAAAAAUUGAUCUUCCUUCACAAUCUCUCCACAUCCUUUAGGUAACCACCAAUCCACUUUCUGUUACUGGAGAUGAAUUUUGCUUGUUCUAGAAUUUCUUAUAGAUUGAAUCAGUAUGUACUCUUGUGUCUAGUUUUUUUAGCUUACAUGUUUUGAAAUUCAGGCUGUUGCAUAUGUCUGUAGUUUUUUCCUUUUUAUCUCUGUUCAUUGCAGUAUAUUACAGUUUGUUUAUCUGUGUGUCUACUGAUGGAUUUCUGGUCUAUUUCUAGGUGAGGUUAUUAUGAAUAAAGCCGCUACAAACAAAUGUACAAGUCUUUGUAUGGAUCUAUGUUUCCCUUUCUUUCUGAGCGAUCUCUUCUGUGACCAGUGGUACGAUGGCCUUGUACUGGGUCAGCUUAGCCGAGCCAGAAUGGUGUUUCCCGAAAUUACUCUCCUACACGCUUGUGGGUUAGCACGGCUGCCCAAGUCGUUUUGUGUCAGAUUUAGAAGGUGGAAAUGGAGCGGCAACCGUGUUACUUUUCACGCUUGGAAAGAUGAGGUGGUCUAGGAAUCACUGUUGCCGAUUCAGUCACGUUGUAACUUCGCAGUUGGCUCGCCUGGUUGGCCCAACGCAGCAUCUGGGCCUGCGGCAGCCGUGACUCCGCUCUGCUCCCCUUUGGCUUCUCCCAGUUCUGGGCCUGAUGUGUGUUUUAGCCUCUGCCGCCCUCCAUCUCAAAGGGGUGGUGAGGGGUUGACAAAGGCACCGGUCCACCGUCCUGAGUUGCACAGUCUCCCAAGUGCUAGUCCGUCUUCGUCGCCCCCUCGUGCCCACCUCACAUUUGCCUUUCCUUCCUGACUUCCUCCUCCACAGACUUCAGAUCCCAACACCAGACGGAAACGAUCACCUCCUAUGAACUGUAACCAGCCUUCACAGUUAGCUGUGGUCAAAUCCUCGCUUCUCUGAUGGAACGCUGAUAAAGAACCUGCCGCUGAAAGUGAUCCCAGGGGUCAGAAUCUUAAGAAUCAGACCUCUGUUGGGGCACCUGGGGGGGGGGGGCUCAGUUGGUUGAGCAUCCGACUUCAGUUCAGGUCAUGAUCCCACAGUUCAUGGGUUGGAGCCCUGAGUCAGGCUCUGGGCUGACAGCUCGGAGCCUCGAGCCUGUUUCAGAUUCUGUGUCUCCCUCUCUCUCUGCCCCUCCCCCGCUAACACUCUGUCUCUCUCUCUCUCUCUCAAAAAUAAAUAAACAUUAAACACAUUUUUUUUUAAAAGAAUCAGAUCUCUGCAGACUUUUCAAGUCACUAUGUUUGGAUACCUGACACUAGCAUAACAUUGUGUAUUUCAAUUAAAAAAUUUAAAAAACAGUUCUCUGAACUGGUCUUGUGUUAUCUGCAAGUGAUUCUCUGAUUCAGUUAGCUUUAAAGUCAUCAGUAACCCUGUUUCCAAAAUUAAAGGGGAUGUUGGAAGUCCGUGAUCUUGCAAUAGCAAAACAGUUACUUAAAUAAUCACUUGGAGACACCUGUAAUCAAGUGUGUGUGGAAGACAAGGCUGGGGAGGAACAAGUGUUUGAGACAUAGAACAUUCUAGUGGAAACGGAGUGUAAGAAGCUUAUGCAGAGCUUCUAAGUGUGCUGAGAAACUUAGACAAAGAAGAUGAGUUUAUGACUUUAAAUUCCCAGUUCAGCACCCAACUAAGGAGCCCAAAUGCCCUAAACGAGAAUUGCCCUAAAUGAGAAUAUGAUUGCCCUAAAAUUAACUCUUACCUCUGCAGUUGUAGAGCCAAAUUUCUGAAAGCCACGUCAAAGUUUCAUUGUGCUGGCAGCAAAUGAAAUUCCUGAUCUUAUUGACUUUUAUAUGUUAAAGGUAUGGCAUUGAUGGGGAACGAAUAGGACUCUGAAAAUGAGAUAAAGGUAUUAAAAGAAUUCUGCACCCCAA